rnacentral:rRNA from 1 species
AUUGAACGCUGGCGGCAUGCCUUACACAUGCAAGUCGAACGGUAACAGGUCUUCGGAUGCUGACGAGUGGCGAACGGGUGAGUAAUACAUCGGAACGUGCCCGAUCGUGGGGGAUAACGAAGCGAAGGCUUUGCUAAUACCGCAUAAGAUCUACGGAUGAAAGCAGGGGACCGCAAGGCCUUGCGCGAACGGAGCGGCCGAUGGUAGAUUAGGUAGUUGGUGGGAUAAAAGCUUACCAAGCCGACGAUCUGUAGCUGGUCUGAGAGGACGACCAGCCACACUGGGACUGAGACACGGCCCAGACUCCUACGGGAGGCAGCAGUGGGGGAUUUUGGACAAUGGGCGAAAGCCUGAUCCAGCCAUGCCGCGUGCAGGAUGAAGGCCUUCGGGUUGUAAACUGCUUUUGUACGGAACGAAAAGACUCUUUCUAAUAAAGAGGGUCCAUGACGGUACCGUAAGAAUAAGCACCGGCUAACUACGUGCCAGCCGCCGCGGUAA